rnacentral:rRNA from 1 species
ACCUCAAAUCAGGUAGGACUACCCGCUGAACUUAAGCAUAUCAAUAAGCGGAGGAAAAGAAACUAACAAGGAUUCCCCUAGUAACUGCGAGUGAAGCGGGAAGAGCUCAAAUUUUGGAAUCUGGCAGUCCUUGGCUGUCCGAGUUGUAAUCUAGAGAAGUGUUUUCCGCGCUGGACCGUGUAUAAGUCUCCUGGAAGGGAGCGUCAUAGAGGGUGAGAAUCCCGUCUUUGACAUGGACUACCAGUGCUAUGUGAUGCGCUCUCGACGAGUCGAGUUGUUUGGGAAUGCAGCUCAAAAUGGGUGGUAAACUCCAUCUAAAGCUAAAUACAGGCGAGAGACCGAUAGCGAACAAGUACCGUGAGGGAAAGAUGAAAAGAACUUUGGAAAGAGAGUUAAACAGUACGUGAAAUUGCUGAAAGGGAAACGCUUGAUGUCAGUCACGUUGGCUGGGGAUCAACCUUGCUUCUCGCUGGGUGUACUUCCCGGUCGACGGGUCAGCAUCAGUUUCAGUCGCUGUACAAGGGUGAGGGGAACGUGGCACUCCUCGGAGUGUGUUAUAGCCUUUCAUCGUAUGCAGUGGUCGGGACUGAGGAGCUCAGCACGGCUUCUUGCUUGUGCUCAGGAUGCUGGCAUAAUGGCCUUAAGCGACCCGUC